GACGAACGCUGGCGGCGUGCCUAAUACAUGCAAGUAGGACGCAGUUGCGAACGGGUGAGUAACGCGUAUGUAACUACCUAUUAGUGGGGGAUAACUAUUGUCAACGAUAGCUAAUACCGCAUACUAGUAGAUGGACCUUCGUUGUAUUAGCUAGUAUGUAGGGUAAUGGCCUACCUAGGCAACGAUACAUAGCCGACCUGAGAGGGUGAUCGGCCAAACUGGGACGGAGGACAGGCCCAGGCCCCCACGGGAGGCAGCAGUAGGGAAUCAUCGGCAAUGGGGGGAAACCUGACCAAGCAAAGCCGCGGGGGUGAAGAAGGUGUUCGGAUCGUAAAACUCUGUUGUUAAGGAAGCGGUACUUAACCAGGAAGGGACGGCUAACUACGUGCCAGCCGCCGCGGUAAUAC
rnacentral:rRNA from 1 species